UCCCGGGUUGUGUAAGGGCAGCACAGCUGGUUUUGGUCCAGUUAGUAGGGGUUCGAAUCCUCUCCCGGGAGCUA
rnacentral:tRNA from 1 species